AUGCUAGACGAGAACCACCACCUGAUCCAAUGCAUCCUGGACUACCAGAGCAAAGGCAAGACGGCCGAGUGCACCCAGUACCAGCAGAUCCUGCACCGGAACCUGGUGUACCUGGCCACCAUAGCGGACUCCAACCAGAACAUGCAGUCCUUGCUCCCUGCUCCACCAACCCAGAACAUGAACCUGGGCCCCGGAGCACUGACUCAGAGCAGUUCUAGCCAGGGCCUGCACUCCCAGGGCAGCCUCAGUGAUGCCAUCAGCACGGGCCUGCCCCCGUCCUCCCUCAUGCAGGGCCAGAUCGGCAAUGGUCCAAACCAUGUGGCCAUGCAGCAGACAGCACAGAGCACUCUGCCCACCACCUCCAUGAGCAUGUCAGGCAGUGGCCAUGGCUCGGGGCCUGGCUACAGCCACUCAGGACCCACCUCGCAGAGUGUCCCUAUGCAGGGGCAAGGCACCAUUGGCAACUACGUGUCUCGGACCAACAUCAACAUGCAGUCCAACCCAGUGUCCAUGAUGCACCAGCAGGCGGCUACAUCCCACUAUAACUCGGCACAGGGUGGGAGCCAGCACUACCAGGGCCAGUCAUCCAUCGCCAUGAUGGGCCAGGGCGGCCAGGGGAACAGCAUGAUGGGACAGCGGCCCAUGGCACCCUACCGGCCCUCCCAGCAAGGCUCUUCCCAGCAGUACCUGGGCCAGGAGGAGUACUACAGUGAGCAGUACAGCCACAGCCAGGGCGCCUCGGAGCCCAUGAGCCAGCAGUACUACCCAGACGGGCAUGGCGAUUAUGCUUACCAGCAGUCAUCCUACACGGAGCAGAGCUACGACCGGUCAUUCGAAGAGUCCACGCAGCACUACUAUGAGGGGGGAAACUCCCAGUACAGCCAGCAGCAGGCCGGUUACCAGCAGGGCACGGCCCAGCAGCAGACGUACUCCCAGCAGCAGUACCCCAACCAGCAGAGCUACCCCGGGCAGCAGCAAGGCUAUGGGCCUGCCCAGGGAGCUCCCUCGCAGUACCCCAGCUACCAGCAAGGACAAGGCCAACAGUACGGGAGCUACAGAGCGUCACAGACGGGACCAUCUGCCCAGCAGCAGCGGCCUUAUGGCUAUGAGCAGGCAAGCUUUCUGGAUGUUUCCAGACGUGCCCGUCCACCGUGUCUGUCGAGACAUAAUGAAGAUUUCUCAUAUGGUCAUGAGGAAUAAUGAGAUGGAACUAAUUGGCUUCCAGGGUCCCUUCCAGAAUGUUAACUCUCUGAGCCUGGCCAGUAUGGAAAUUACCAGCAAUAAGAGACAAGCGUUCUUGUUGGAGCCCUUGUGGUAGCGUGUUCAUCCAGGGGAUGGAUGGGCCGGUGGCAGUUCUAAUGAACUGAGACUUGUUGGUUGCCCCUUCGCCCAGUGCCACGUCUGCAUGUGAAGCGUGCUCAUUUCAUGCUGGGUAACGCCGAGCGUGCACCUUGGCACAAGACAGCGCUUUGAUGGUGUGACAUAUUUGGUGCUGUGUAUAGUAUUGUAUGUUGAUACAAUGGAGAGGUUGUCCUUUAUUUGUCCCCUCAACCCGUUCUCAAUGUUUCUAGCUAGCUUUGGGGGUCAAUUUGUCAUCAGAGUAUCCUGUGCCCAGUGAUGGGACGUAUCUGAAAGACACCCUAGUUCACAUAUUCAUAGAAACAGACCUUAGGUCUAAUUUCUCUCCUCAUACAGUGGUCAUGAUGUGGCUUGUAAACUUUUCUUUAACUGGCUACACCACAGCUUGACACACACGCAGCCCCUGGAUGGCAGCCUCUUCCUGUGCCUCAGUGGGGUGGGUGAGAGGGUGUCUUCUGUGUUUCGGGUCAGAUUCUGACACACAAUAAAAAGGAUAAACACGCGUCAGUUGGAGAGGCUGGCAGCACUCCUUUCUGAGCUUGUUCAUACCUGUGUCUCUUGCCAAUUCUGUUUACCCAGAAAGGGUGUGUGUGUUUGUAUUAGAAAGUAAAGAGGGAUCAAUGACUAUAUUCCAAACAAAUAUGAGUCCACGAGGGCAACGUAUGAUUAGCCUAACCCAGGAGAGUGCUACUCCUGAAAAAAAGAGAGGGCAGACCUCUAGGAAUUUGGCUGUUAGAAAUUACUUUGGUUUUGGCUCUUGCUUUUCUGACAGUCAUUUCUAGGAUUUGAAUAUUCAAUAUGCCCAUUCUAAAUUUAUAAUUUAAAAUAUUGAUACCAGCUUUUCCAAACACUUGGCAAGUUGUUUAUUUUAUUUUAUUUCUUUUAGGGACUACUUGUUCAGAUCUGUAAGCAAGCAUGCCUUUUCUUUUAGGGGUGUCAGAAAUUCACAUCCUGUUUUUAAAAGGAAUCCUAGUAAUUUUACUGUGUUCUUUCUAAUGAAAAGUAAAGGUUUUGUAUAGAGAAAU